CCUCUCACACAUUCGUCAUAGU
rnacentral:miRNA from 10 species